rnacentral:rRNA from 1 species
GAUACUCNNUAAAUUUGGCGGCAAGUUGAUUUUUUAGAGGAACUUGUUUCGUGAUCGAUAAUCCUCGAUUUAUGUACUUUGAUUAAUUUAGCUUAUAUACCGUUGUUAUAAGAAUAUAUUUUUAGAUAAUUUUCUUUAGUUCUUUAAGAAAUUAUUUCAGAUCAAGGUUUAGUUAAUAUGGAAGUGUUAAUGAGUUACAAUGAAUGAAUUUAUACGGAUCAUUUAAUUUAAAUUUUUCGUGAAGGUGGAUUUAAGAGUAAAUUGGUUAUUUUAUUCUUAUUGAAGAAAAGUCUGACUUGUGC